GAUGAACGCUGGCGGCGUGCCUAAUACAUGCCAGUCGAGCGAACAGACGAGGAGCUUGCUCCUCUGACGUUAGCGGCGGACGGGUGAGUAACACGUGGAUAACCUACCUAUAAGACUGGGAUAACUUCGGGAAACCGGAGCUAAUACCGGAUAAUAUAUUGAACCGCAUGGUUCAAUAGUGAAAGACGGUUUUGCUGUCACUUAUAGAUGGAUCCGCGCCGCAUUAGCUAGUUGGUAAGGUAACGGCUUACCAAGGCAACGAUGCGUAGCCGACCUGAGAGGGGGAUCGGCCACACUGGAACUGAGACACGGUCCAGACUCCUGCGGGAGGCAGCAGUAGGGAAUCUUCCGCAAUGGGCGAAAGCCUGACGGAGCAACGCCGCGUGAGUGAUGAAGGUCUUCGGAUCGUAAAACUCUGUUAUUAGGGAAGAACAAAUGUGUAAGUAACUAUGCACGUCUUGACGGUACCUAAUCAGAAAGCCACGGCUAACUACGUG
rnacentral:rRNA from 1 species